AUUGAACGCUGGCGGCAGGCCUAACACAUGCAAGUCGAGCGAGCGGCGGACGGGUGAGUAAUGUAUGGGGACUGCCCGAUAGAGGGGGAUAACUACUGGAAACGGUAGCUAAUACCGCAUACUAUCGGAUAACCCAUAUGGGAUUAGCUAGUAGGUGGGGUAAUGUCUCACCUAGGCGACGAUCCCUAGCUGGUCUGAGAGGAUGAUCAGCCACCGUGGGACUGAGACACGGGCCAGACUCCAUCGGAGGCAGCAGUGGGGAAUAUUGCACAAUGGGAGCAAGCCGGAUGCAGCCAUGCCGCGUGUAUGAAGAAGGCCCUAGGGUUGUAAAGUACUUUCAGUCGGGAGGCGUUACCGACAGAAGAAGCACCGGCUAACUCCGUGCCAGCAGCCGCGGUAAUUC
rnacentral:rRNA from 1 species